GGAGUACGGAUGAGAAUCAGGAUUGAUUUUUUGAAGGUGGAUUUGUAAGUAAUUAUUUUUAUAGUAUUGAUAAAUGAAGGGUGGAAUAACAUGUGUACAUAUUGCCCGUCGCUCUCGUUGUUUUUGAGAUAAGUCGUAACAUAGUUGAUGAACUGGAAAGUGUAUCUUUUUGG
rnacentral:rRNA from 1 species